UACGUAGGGUGCAAGCGUUGUCCGGAAUUAUUGGGCGUAAAGAGCUCGUAGGCGGUUUGUCGCGUCUGCUGUGAAAUCUCGGAGCUUAACUCCGAAACUGCAUUCGAUACUGCCGUGCUUGAGGACUGGAGAGGAGACUGGAAUUUACGGUGUAGCGGUGAAAUGCGUAGAUAUCGUGAGGAAGACCAGUGGCGAAGGCGGAUCUCUGGACAGUUCCUGACGCUGAGGCGCGAAGGCCAGGGGAGCAAACGGG
rnacentral:rRNA from 1 species